UUUUCUGUCUCUAACAGGGUGAGUGGGUGUCUAUGGGCAUCUACUCCACUGGUAAUUCCUAUGGAGUUCCUGAUGACCUCAUGUACUCCUUCCCUGUUAUGAUCAAGAACAAGACCUGGAAGGUGGUUGACGGACUCUCCAUCAAUGAUUUCUCCCGCGGUAAGAUGGAUGGCACCGCCGCUGAGCUGGUGGAGGAGAGAGACACGGCACUCACCUUCCUUGGAGCGUGACUUGAUGUCUCCACAACAGCGCGGCAGCCGUUAGACUCUUCAAAGUCCCCAAAUCCCCGACUGUAAAGUCCUGUAGGUUUCACAGCUGACCGUGUGCGUGUGUGGAUAUUCAUGUCUCUUAACGUAUGCGUGUGUGUGUUAUUCACAAGAAACAUUUGCAAUGUAACUUCCUCUGCUUGAAGUGUCUGGGGCAACACCUGAAGAAGAACAUUUCUAAUUAAAACUGUUACGCACAUAGAUGUCCAGACCAAAAUAACGAUAAUCUGUCAUACAACAAUAAAAGGCCAUGUGGAAAAUGAA